GUGUUGGGGGAGCAGGUGAUCCGGGUCCGGGAUGGGGGCCCUAAGGUCGGCAGGAAAGGCGCGCGGCCGGGUGGCAGAGGCUGUCUGUACAAACAGCUGGCCGACAGUAUUAAAAACAAAAGAGGAGAGGUGGAUCCACGUCCCGCACAGGCUGCACUCGAUCAUGGGCCGCCCGGCGAAGGGCUUUCGGCAGUAACACGUGAUCAGGUCCCACGAGUCGUCACCUGGGGAGAGAAGGUCUGGAUGGUUCGGAGAUCUGAGGGGGCCGAGUCCCAGCCAUCACUGUCUGCCGCGCUCUCCCCGCGCAAUGGAGAGCUGGAGCCUGAGGCUGGCCAAUCACUUUCCUGAAAGGCGAGGAGAGAGACCCGGCUUCCUAAUGUUUACUGAGCAGCGCAUUCCAUUAACGACACCCCCAGACCAUCCAGCGGUCUCUCGAGUCACCCCGCUGUGCCCAGAGACCAACAUAAAGCCGUCCUUCUCAGUGCCAGGGCCUCGGUGAACUCGGAUGCCCACACUAUGAAACCUAACACACAUGGAGGCUCCUAGUAUCAGAAGGGUCCGUCACAGGCCCAAACCGACAGAGCCGGGGCCAUCAAACAGGUGCUCCCCUCCUCUUGGUCUCACAACUCCAGCUUUCCUAAACGGCGCCCCUCCCACCACCCGGCCCCGAAGAGUUGCCACAUCCAGUCUCCGACUAGCCCACCCAUCUCGGUUGUCCGACAAGGGUCUCCCCCCUCCCCAUCCCACCCCAUGUCCAGCUAAGGGUGCCCCAACCCUCUAACGGGAAAAGCUGCCGCCAGGACGCCGUUCCGAAGCCCAGAGGCCCGACACUUUCCGCAAACCCGUGAGCACCGCUGACAGUGGUUCCCAGUGCCACCAGGGCCCACCCCGGCUCACCGUGCGGAUCUGCCUCCGCAAAAGGUAAAUGAAGAAGCUCCAGAGCUUGGCGGCGAAGGCCACGAACGUGCGCAGCCCCAGCAGACACUGGGUCCGCAUCAUCCCGAUGACCCCGGCACCGCCGGCCCCGGGGCCCCCGCGGCCCAGCUCCGCCAGUCCCCCGGGGGCAGCCCCCCGCCUCCGGGAGGGGGAACGGGGGCCCCGAGUGGCAGGAAAGGCUGCAGAGAGGGGCACGGAGCGGGCGGCUCAGAAAGCCACCCCACGCGAGGGGAAAGCCCAGCGGAACCGGGAGCUGGGGGACAGGCGUGGGCAGCCCGCGGGGGCCCACAUGG